GCGCGGUAGACGAAGAAAUGUAAUGGAAAGUAAAUACGAACCAAGCGCGGUAGCAGAGAAAUGUAAUGGAAGUUCAUCAGCAGUAUCGGAAACAUGCCACUCAUAGCGUCAUUUUCCAAAAAUAUAAAAUGACAUUCAGUCAUGGUUAAAAUUAAUAUUAAUUAAUAGUAACCCAAACAUGUCUAAAUAAAAAUUAACACACAUAUCAUCUCAAGGCAAUCACCAUUUCUUAUUACAAAAUUUUCAAGCAGUGUAAGGGAGGUAAUAAAACAUCUAUAUAACAGUAUUCUUUAAAUGGAAUUGGCUUACCUUCCUUACACUGCUUUCAAAUUGUCCUUUGACCAGAAAACCACUUGUUUUCCCUUUUUUUUGUCCCUAAUUCCCUAAUUGCUGAAUGAUUUGAG
rnacentral:lncRNA from 1 species